rnacentral:rRNA from 1 species
AACCGAGCGGCAACCCCCUCGUGGGUUAGUUGGUCCAUCAUUUAGUUUGGGGCACUUUAAGCAGACUGCCGUGGAUAACACGGAGGAAGGUGGGGACGACGUCAAAUCAUCAUGCCCCUUAUGACCUGGGCUACACACGUGCUACAAUGGUCUGAACAGAGGGCUGCGAAACCGCGAGGUGAAGCUAAUCCCAUCAAAACGGGGCAUGGUUCGGAUUGCAGGCUGCAAUUCGCCUGCAUGAAGCCGGAAUCGCUAGUAAUCGCGGGUCAGCCACACCGCGGUGAAUACGUACUCGGGGCUU